ensembl:lncRNA
GGAGAGGAGACUGCAAGGGAGGAAAACAUUUACACAGAGCCUCCCAGAACAAAGAUAAUUUCCUAUCAGUGUGUCGGUGACCCCUAUUGAUGUCUCCACGUGGGACCACACGUUUGCAUUGCCCCCAGCACGGAUCCUCAGCAGGAAAAAAACCAUUUUCUCCUGUAACCUAUAUCCCUUAUUUCUCAUAAUUCACAUUACACAGGAGCUGGAACCCUGGGUUUGACCCACACGACCACCUGCAAAGCUUUGAGCCACGGGGUGCUUCCAGCCUGAGGAUACACUGAGGCGCACUGAGGAAGGAUCCACAGCCUGUCGUACAUUUGUGAUCUAUAUCCACUUAAUUAAAGGCUCAUUCAUGGCCUGGGUGCACACAGCCCUGCUGGGAUGUGAGCUGUCCUCCGUGUCAAAGGGCUCAGUGUUUUUCCAGGAUUUGAGGGCAUGUUUCCAUUUCCAUCCCUUGACCUUUCUCUGGUGCUCGCAGCAGCGCCUCGGCCCUGGGCAAGGCUCCCAGCACUGCCGCAGUUCAAGCAUCCAAUAGCGGGAGAAAGAAAUUCCCUCUGCAGGGGGAUGGUGACUCCCCGCCUCCCUGGGCAGCUGUGCCACUGCA